GACAGAGGGUGCAAACGUUGUUCGGAAUUACUGGGCGUAAAGCGCGUGUAGGCUGCUCUGCAAGUCGGAUGUGAAAGCCCGUGGGCUCAACCUAGGAAGUGCACUCGAAACUGCGGAGCUUGAGUCUCGGAGAGGAUCGCGGAAUUCUCGGUGUAGAGGUGAAAAUUCGUAGAUAGUCGAGAGGAACACCGAUGGCGAAGGCAGAUCUCUGGGCCGUAACCUGACGCUGAGGAGCGAAAGCGUGGGGAGCGAACAGG
rnacentral:rRNA from 1 species